UAGGGAAUCUUCGGCAAUGGACGAAAGUCUGACCGAGCAACGCCGCGUGAGUGAAGAAGGUUUUCGGAUCGUAAAACUCUGUUGUUAGAGAAGAACAAGGACGUUAGUAACUGAACGUCCCCUGACGGUAUCUAACCAGAAAGCCACGGCUAACUACGUGCCAGCAGCCGCGGUAAUACGUAGGUGGCAAGCGUUGUCCGGAUUUAUUGGGCGUAAAGCGAGCGCAGGCGGUUUCUUAAGUCUGAUGUGAAAGCCCCCGGCUCAACCGGGGAGGGUCAUUGGAAACUGGGAGACUUGAGUGCAGAAGAGGAGAGUGGAAUUCCAUGUGUAGCGGUGAAAUGAGUAGAUAUAUGGAGGAACACCAGUGGCGAAGGCGGAUCUCUGGUCUGUAACUGACGCUGAGGCUCGAAAGCGUGGGGAGCAAACAGG
rnacentral:rRNA from 1 species